rnacentral:rRNA from 1 species
GAGGACCCCCGAGGGGGAAGGCAGAUCUUCUGGGCCGUAACUGACGUUGAGGAGCGAAAGCGUGGGGAGCGAACAGGAUUAGAUACCCUGGUAGUCCCACGCCGUAAACGUUGGGCGCUAGAUGUAGGGACCUUUCCACGGUUUCUGUGUCGUAGCUAACGCAUUAAGCGCCCCGCCUGGGGAGUACGGCCGCAAGGCUAAAACUCAAAGGAAUUGACGGGGGCCCGCACAAGCGGCGGAGCAUGCGGAUUAAUUCGAUGCAACGCGAAGAACCUUACCAAGGCUUGACAUACACCGGAAACGGCCAGAGAUGGUUGCCCCCUUGUGGUCGGUGUACAGGUGGUGCAUGGUUGUCGUCAGCUCGUGUCGUGAGAUGUUGGGUUAAGUCCCGCAACGAGCGCAACCCUCGUUCUAUGUUGCCAGCGCGUUAUGGCGGGGACUCAUAGGAGACUGCCGGGGUCAACUCGGAGGAAGGUGGGGAUGACGUCAAAUCAUCAUGCCCCUUAUGUCUUGGGCUUCACGCAUGCUACAAUGGCCGGUACAAAGGGCUGCGAUACCGUAAGGUGGAGCGAAUCCCAAAAAGCCGGUCUCAGUUCGGAUUGAGGUCUGCAACUCGACCUCAUGAAGUCGGAGUCGCUAGUAAUCGCAGAUCAGCAACUCUGCGGAAAUUG